UACGUAGGUGGCAAGCGUUGUCCGGAAUUACUGGGUGUAAAGGGCGUGUAGGCGGGUUGUCAAGUCAGAUGUGAAAUUCCGUGGCUCAACUGCGGAGCUGCAUCUGAAACUGAUGAUCUUGAGUACUGGAGAGGGAAGCGGAAUUCCUAGUGUAGCGGUGAAAUGCGUAGAUAUUAGGAGGAACACCAGUGGCGAAGGCGGCUUUCUGGACAGUAACUGACGCUGAGGCGCGAAAGCGUGGGGAGCGAACAGG
rnacentral:rRNA from 2 species